rnacentral:rRNA from 1 species
GAUGAACGCUGGCGGCGUGCCUAAUACAUGCAAGUCGAGCGAACAGAUGAUGAGCUUGCUCCUCUGACGUUAGCGGCGGACGGGUGAGUAACACGUGGAUAACCUACCUAUAUUACUGGUAUAACUUCGGGAAACCGGAGCUAAUACCGGAUAAUAUAUUGAACCGCAUGGUUCAUUAGUGAAUGUCGGUUUUUCUGUCUCUUAUAGAUGGAUCCGCGCCGCAUUAGCUAGUUGGUAAGGUAACGGCUUACCAAGGCAACGAUGCGUAGCCGACCUGAGAGGGUGAUAGGCCACACUGGAACUGAGACACGGUCCAGACGCCUACGGGAGGCAGCAGAAGGGAAUGUUCCGCAAUGGGCGAAAGCAUGACGGAGCAACGCCGCGUGAGUGAUGAAGGUCUUCGGAUCGUAAAACUCUGUUAUUAGGGAAGAACAAAUGUGUAAGUAACUAUGCACGUCUUGACGGUACCUAAUCAGAAAGCCACGGCUAACUACGUG